GGAUGUAGCGUUGCCUUGUGUAUUGGGAUAGACAUUACAACGCCAUGAAACAAAAAGAACAUAACAUGUUCCAUUUUGGAGACAUCAUGGCAUUCAUUAUAAGAAACCAAGCUUUUUGAGGUGUAGGAUUUGAUUCAAGUCAUACAACAAUACAAAAUUGAUGAAGAUAGUUUGGGCAUCAUGGCAUUCAUUAUAAGAAACCAAGCUUUUUAAGGUGUAGGAUUUGAUUCAAGUCAUACAACAAUACAAAAUUGAUGAAGAUAGUUUGGGCAUCAUGGCAUUCAUUAUAAGAAACCAAGCUUUUUGAGGUGUAGGAUUUGAUUCAAGUCAUACAACAAUACAAAAUUGAUGAAGAUAGUUUGGGCACACGGUUUUAGUUUCUUCAAUAAGGGAGUGUUCGGAGACUCAACUUUAAACUUUUGUAACACUUGAAAAAGAAAUGUCACUAGUUAAGAACUAAUUGAUAGCCCGAAAAUCCCCUUCUCCGUAAAAACACUCUAGAGCCGUUUUCACUUUGAGGAUUGAGGAAGACACUGUUCUUCCUCCCUUCUCCUUUC
rnacentral:lncRNA from 1 species